rnacentral:rRNA from 1 species
AGUGAACGCUGGCGGUAGGCCUAACACAUGCAAGUCGAACGGCAGCACAGUAAGAGCUUGCUCUUACGGGUGGCGAGUGGCGGACGGGUGAGGAAUACAUCGGAAUCUACUUUUUCGUGGGGGAUAACGUAGGGAAACUUACGCUAAUACCGCAUACGACCUACGGGUGAAAGCAGGGGAUCUUCGGACCUUGCGCGAUUGAAUGAGCCGAUGUCGGAUUAGCUAGUUGGCGGGGUAAAGGCCCACCAAGGCGACGAUCCGUAGCUGGUCUGAGAGGAUGAUCAGCCACACUGGAACUGAGACACGGUCCAGACUCCUACGGGAGGCAGCAGUGGGGAAUAUUGGACAAUGGGCGCAAGCCUGAUCCAGCAAUACCGCGUGGGUGAAGAAGGCCUUCGGGUUGUAAAGCCCUUUUGUUAGGAAAGAAAAGCAGCAGGUUAAUACCCCGCUGUUCUGACGGUACCCAAAGAAUAAGCACCGGCUAACUUCGUG